rnacentral:rRNA from 1 species
GCGACGGGUGAGUAACACGUGGAUAACCUACCUAUAAGACUGGGAUAACUUCGGGAAACCGGAGCUAAUACCGGAUAAUAUAUUGAACCGCAUGGUUCAAUAGUGAAAGACGGUUUUGCUGUCACUUAUAGAUGGAUCCGCGCCGCAUUAGCUAGUUGGUAAGGUAACGGCUUACCAAGGCAACGAUGCGUAGCCGACCUGAGAGGGUGAUCGGCCACACUGGAACUGAGACACGGUCCAG